GUGGGAGCCGCUCCCCUGACGACUACGUAUUGCGUCACCGCGCCUAUAUAGAUGUAGUUGCGACGCCAACAUCUCGCGAGAUGAGGCCUAUGAUGGCGGAUCCCAGGCAUUGCGACGCUGUGGCCUGUUUGGAAGAAAGCGGCCCGUUUGGUGGUCCAAGUAUCCUCUGUUGCCUUCACAACACAAAGGUAUUUCAAGUUUGAUCUCUCUCUCCGGUUAUUCCUCUACCCAUUGAAAAAUGUUUGUUUUUUGUCUUAAUUCUCAUUUUCUACUGAAUAAAGAUUUUAUACUUUGGUA